rnacentral:rRNA from 1 species
CAAGUCGAGCGAGAACCGGAGCUUCGGCUCCGGAGAAAGCGGCGAACGGGUGAGUAACACGUGGGCAACCUGCCCUCGGCACCGGGAUAGCCCGGGGAAACCCGGAUUAAUACCGGACAGCCUCCGGAGCCUUCGGGCGGCGGAGAAAAGGUGGCUUCGGCUUCCGGCUGAGGAGGGGCCUGCGGCGGAUUAGCUUGUUGGUGGGGUAACGGCUCACCAAGGCGACGAUCCGUAGCUGGUCUGAGAGGACGAUCAGCCACACUGGGACUGAGACACGGCCCAGACUCCUACGGGAGGCAGCAGUGGGGAAUCUUGCGCAAUGGGCGAAAGCCUGACGCAGCGACGCCGCGUGCGGGAAGAAGGCCUUCGGGUUGUAAACCGCUUUCAGGAGGGACGAAGCCACUCGGGUUAAUAGCCCAGAGGGUGACGGUACCUCCAGAAGAAGCCCCGGCUAACUACGUGCCAGCAGCCGCGGUAAUACGUAGGGGGCAAGCGUUGUCCGGAUUUAUUGGGCGUAAAGCGCGUGUAGGCGGCCAGGUAGGUCCGUUGUGAAAACUCGAGGCUCAACCUCGAGACGCCGGCGGAAACCAUCUGGCUAGAGUCCGGAAGAGGAGAGUGGAAUUCCCGGUGUAGCGGUGAAAUGCGCAGAUAUCGGGAAGAACACCCGUGGCGAAGGCGGCUCUCUGGGACGGUACUGACGCUGAGACGCGAAAGCGUGGGGAGCGAACAGGAUUAGAUACCCUGGUAGUCCACGCCGUAAACGAUGGGUGCUAGGUGUGGUCGGUGUCGACUCCGGCCGUGCCGAAGCUAACGCAUUAAGCACCCCGCCUGGGGAGUACGGCCGCAAGGCUAAAACUCAAA